rnacentral:rRNA from 1 species
GCCGCGUGAGUGAUGAAGGCCCUAGGGUCGUAAAGCUCUUUCGCCUGUGAAGAUAAUGACGGUAGCAGGUAAAGAAACCCCGGCUAACUCCGUGCCAGCAGCCGCGGUAAUACGGAGGGGGUUAGCGUUGUUCGGAAUUACUGGGCGUAAAGCGCACGUAGGCGGACUAAUAAGUCGAGGGUGAAAUCCCAGGGCUCAACCCUGGAACUGCCUUCGAUACUGUUAGUCUUGAGUUCGAGAGAGGUGAGUGGAAUUCCGAGUGUAGAGGUGAAAUUCGUAGAUAUUCGGAGGAACACCAGUGGCGAAGGCGGCUCACUGGCUCGAUACUGACGCUGAGGUGCGAAAGUGUGGGGAGCAAACAGGAUUAGAUACCCUGGUAGUCCACACCGUAAACGAUGAAUGCCAGUCGUCGGGUAGCAUGCUAUUCGGUGACACACCUAACGGAUUAAGCAUUCCGCCUGGGGAGUACGGUCGCAAGAUUAAAACUCAAAGGAAUU